rnacentral:rRNA from 1 species
AAAGAAAAUAACAAUGAUUCCCCUAGUAACGGCGAGCGAAGAGGGAAUAGCUCAAAUUUUAAAUCUGUUGGGUCUUACCUAACCGAGUUGUAAUUUGAAGAAACGUUUUCUGCGUGUUUGAUUUAGCCCAAAUCCUUUGGGAUAAGGUAUCAUGGAGGGUGAGAAUCCCGUCUGGCCUAAUCAAAUGUGCUUUACGAUACGUUUUCUAAGAGUCGAGUUGUUUGGGAUUGCAGCUCAAAAUGGGAGGUAAAUUUCUCCUAAGGCUAAAUAUAGGCGAGAGACCGAUAGCGAACAAGUACCGUGAGGGAAAGAUGAAAAGAACUUUGAAAAGAGAGUUAAACAGUACGUGAAAUUGUUGAAAGGGAAACGAUUAAAGUCAGUCGUACUAACGGGGAAUCAACCUUUUGAGGGUGGAAUUGCGGGAUUCAAAGUGCCUUUGUCUUUCGCAACCUGCUUUUUUUGGGUGCACUUUCUCGUAUUGUAGGUCAGCAUCGGUUUCGACCGUUAUAGAAUGACUGGAGGAAUGUAGCUUCGAUCUCGUAUUGAAGUGUUAUAGCCUUUGGUAGAUGUAACGGAUGGUAUCGAGGAUUGCAAUGAAUACCCUCAUGGGCUAUCCGCCUGGCCUCUGACAUGUCACUCUGGUGCUGAAAGCGUGCUUAUGGUAUCAUAGUGUACGGUCAAAAGGUUAGAACGGAUUAAAUU